rnacentral:rRNA from 1 species
GGGUAUUACUGGGCAGGAGCGGGGGGAAGGCGGAGGUGUCAAGUGGUUGUCGGAUUCACUGGGGAGAAUGUGCGCGGAGGGGUCUGGGUCAGGCGGGUGUGAAAGCCCUCGGCUCAACUGAGGAACUGCGCCCGAUACUGCCCGACUUGAGGGCCGGAGGGGAGAGGGGAAUUCCCGGUGGAGCGGUGAAAUGCGUAGAGAUCGGGAAGAACGCCGGCGGCGAAAGCGACUCUCUGGACGGUACCUGACGCUGAGGCGCGAAAGCUAGGGGAGCAAACGGGAUUAGAUACCCUGGUAGUC